rnacentral:sRNA from 1 species
GGAUGUGAGGGCAAUCUUGCUGCGACAUCUAUUACUUUAUUUUUCACCACAGUUUAUUGGGCUGACCUGGCUGGUUUAGGUGGGUCCCCUUCCCCCUUACUGCUCCAUGUGUGUCCCUACCAAAGGUGCAUGCUUGGUUGAAAAGGAUGACCUUCCUCAAAAGGACCAUCAAAGAGGAGGACCAUUCUUUGGUCAAGCUUAUACGAGUAGCUGUGCUUUCCUGAGAGGACCUCAAACAAUUUCUGAAGAAGUGCUCCAUCA